rnacentral:rRNA from 1 species
UAUCCUUCGGGAGGGCGCUUACCACUUUGUGAUUCAUGACUGGGGUGAAGUCGUAACAAGGUAACCGUAGGGGAACCUGCGGUUGGAUCACCUCCUUACCUUAAAGAA